GGAGCCUGAGAAAUAGCUACCACAUCCAAGGAAGGCAGCAGGCGCGCAAAUUACCCACCCCCGAAACGGGGAGGUAGUGACGAUAAAUAACGAUGCGGGACUCAAUCGAGGCCCCGUAAUUGGAAUGAGUACACUUUAAAUCCUUUAACGAGGAUCAAUUGGAGGGCAAGUCUGGUGCUAGCAGCCGCGGUAAUUCCAGCUCCAAUAGCGUAUAUUAAAGUUGUUGCAGUUAAAAAGCUCGUAGUUGGAUCUCAGGAUUUGGAUGGAUGGUUCGCUUUCGGGCGCUACUAUCUGUCUGACCUACUCUAGUCGUGGAUGCCUUGGGUGCUCUUAAUUGAGUGCUUUUGGUGCCCGACGCAAUUACUUUGAAAAAAUUAGAGUGCUCAAAGCAGGCGUAUUGCCUGAAUAGUGUUGCAUGGAAUAACGAAAUAGGAGUUUACUUCUAUUUUGUUGGUUUUCGGAGGUGAACUAAUGAUUAACAGGGACAGACGGGGGCAUUUGUAUGGAGGGGUUAGAGGUGAAAUUCUUGGAUCCUCUCCAGACAAACUACUGCGAAAGCAUUUGCCAGGAAUGUUUUCACUAAUCAAGAACGAAAGUCAGAGGUUCGAAGACGAUCAGAUACCGUCCUAGUUCUGACCAUAAAUGAUGCCAUCUAACAAUCCACGAAGUUUGCUUGUACGAACUCGUGGGCGGUCCCCGGGAAACCAAAGAUUUUGGGUUCCGGGGGAAGUAUGGUUGCAAAGCUGAAACUUAAAGGAAUUGACGGAAGGGCACCACCAGGAGUGGAGCCUGCGGCUUAAUUUGACCCAACACGGGAAACCUCACCCGGCCCGGACACUUUUAGGAUUGACAGAUUGAAGGCUCUUUCUUGAUCAAGUGGUUGGUGGUGCAUGGCCGUUCUUAGUUGGUGGAGCGAUUUGUCUGGUUAAUUCCGAUAACGAACAAGACUCUACUCUGCUAAAUAGAACGUUGAUAUAUAAAAGUCAGUGCUGACUUCUUAGAGAGACUAACGGCGUUUAGCCGUGUGAGAAAGAGCAAUAACAGGUCUGUGAUGCCCUUAGAUGUCCGGGGCCGCACGCGCGCUACACUGACUGCAGCAACUAGUAUGCUCCUGAUUUGAAAAAACUGGGUAACCUGGUUGAAUUGCAGGCGUGACAGGGAUCAGAGUUUGCAAUUAUCCUCUGUGAACGAGGAAUUCCCAGUAAGCGCAAGUCAUUAGCUUGUGCUGAUUACGUCCCUGCCCUUUGUACACACCGCCCGUCGCUACUACCGAUUGAAUGGUUUAGUGAGGUCUUCGGAUUGGUGCUGAUGGAGUGGUUCUCUGCUCUGUUAGUGCCGAGAAGAUGAUCAAACUUGAUCAUUUAGAGGAAGUAAAAGUCGUAACAAGGUU
rnacentral:rRNA from 1 species